AAGUCGUAACAAGGUUUCCGUAGGUGAACCUGCGGAAGGAUCAUUAGAAAAUGAAUUGUUGGCGGCGCACGGUUUGCUGCUUAGGCGACCGUGCACCGCAAAACAAAACCAAAAAAUCUCACCUCAAAACUUCUUUGACUGAAUGCAUCUUGUCGACCGCUUUGCGGCAUGACAGAAAUUUGAAUGUAAAAACAACUUUUAACAAUGGAUCUCUUGGCUCUC
rnacentral:misc_RNA from 1 species